AAUGUAUGAUUUGAGCUGGGGAUUUGGGUUUCGAGCGAUUGGGAACGAGUUGUGCUUGAGAAUUGGAUUUUUGGAAGUGGUCUGGACUAGCGUAGAAUCGUGGUGAUUUUGGGCAUGGUCUGGAGGAGAGAGAUGGACGGACAUGAACAAGUUUUGUGGAGCGAGCAGCGGAGCUGCAGCGUACCCACUUUCGUGGGAAUGAUGUCACGAGCAGCGUAGGCAGGUCCGCGCUGUUGAUGGAGGUUGAGCUCGGAUGAUUGAUUGAUUAUUACAAGCCCGAUGCAUGUUUGGUCACCUCGGCGCGGCAGCGAAAGCAGAUGUUGACGAAGAAAUUUCGUUGUUUUUCCAUCCCGAUCUUUUUUUCCUCCCCUGUUAAUGAUUCGUGUUCUUUGCUCGUUCAGAGGUUUCGAUUUCUUGGUGUGUUUUUUCCCUGUAUCGAUCGAUCUCUUUGGCUGAAGCAAAGAGUCGAGCUCAGAUUUCUAUGUGUGUUUCUUGCCGAUCAGAUCUCCAUGGCUGAAUCAAAAAAAUCGUGCACGGGGACAGGUCUGGAAGCUGUUUGAUCCAGCAGCGGAGCAGCCGUGUGAAGUCCGAGCAAGACGAAGGUCUGAAGGAUUGAUGAUUAAUGGAGUCUUGCUCUGCUUUGUUUUUAUUUGUUCUUUCGGGUUUUUUUCUCCAAGUCAUUUUCUCUGGUACAAUGGUGGUGGCCGUGUGCUCGAAUCCGCGGUCGGAAAGGUGCGCGCAUCUUGAGCCGGACGCGGGAGAGACGACGGUGAUUCCCUCUCCGCCGUACAUUCGCGUCGUCUCGUUUGAUUCCUGGUAAGCCCGGGCCACGGGCCACCGCUCGCCGGAGUUCUUUUUCUCCCCCCUCUAUUUGUGUGUGACGAUUUCGCCGGAGCUGGCACAGUGCCACAACCCACAGGAGGGCCUCUCGAUGGUGGUGCUGGGACCCAACAACCAAACCCACCAGGUCCAGUGUUCCGCUGCACGGCGGCGGUCGGGGUGGGUUUUGAUGGUGGUUUGGUGCGCGGCGCGAUAGAUUCCGGCGACUCGUGCGAGGGGAGACUGGAGGAGGAGACGUGGCGUGUGCGUGCAUAGACCGCGGAGGACGCGGCCACCAAUCAGUCACAGUGGCAGCAGCUUCUGCUCGAGUUGCGGCACCGGGCACAUCAGAAUAGAUGCGAGGUGAGCGGCGGCUUUGGUUGAUGGAUUGGUUCCACCCAGCGCGUGCAGCUUCUCCCUUCCCCUCCCCGGCACCGGCAGGCGAUCACCGCGGACGGAUCCAAGACGGUCCGGCGACGGCGAGGUCUGAGCUGUGCAGGUACAGAUUUUUUUUUAGUAGACGACGUAGCUGUUCUUCGGAAUUCCAAUGGAUUUGCUGAAAGAACCAGCAGCGAGUCAGGGAGCGAGCGCCGCAGUGGAAUCCGUGGCGGCUCCAAUUUUGUAGCUCGCCCUUUUGUUUCGAACUUUCUGGAAGCGCGAUUUGUCGUCGGUUCGGUUGACGCCACUUCGUUUUGCUCAUCGGGUCGUCGUGUAGCUUCGGCCUGCACUGCAGCACGGUGAGGACCAGAAGGUAGGUGCUGGUGUCCUGCCCAUUGGCAUGAAGACGACGUCGUCUAUGUCUCGCCUAGUUCGGGAGGCUAAGGUAACCAAACGGCAAACCAAACCUCCUCCAGCUUGCCCAGGCACCAAAGGUGGCAACUGGCAAGUGGCACGGACGGAUAAGGCGGCGGCUUCACCACGCCGGUGGUCGGGUGGCGCCGCUUGGCUUGGCCACGCCAAGCAGACCGAGAGCCCGAGACCCUGCCGCGCCCGCGAGGCCGCAUAGGUAGCCUCGUAUCGUCGGGCCGCCCGGCGGAAAACCUUCCGUGCGCAUCGAGACGCGGAGUCUGACUUCAGGGCAGCCUACUGCCGCCACAUGUGUUUCCUCGACAGAAUACUCUCUGGCGAGCAAGCAAACUCGGUGCGUCCGUGCGUGACGUGACGGGGAUGGUGGAGGAGCGCCGGUUUUCCAGCGACAACGACGUCGUCGCGGCCCGCGACGGGGAGGUCGACCGCCGCGACGUGGGCAACAAGAUGGAACACGGGUGAGCGCGCCUGAGGCUCGGCCUGCCUUUGAUUAGCUAUAAUCUCCUUGUCCCGUGCGGCCGUGCCUCCGCCUCCCUCCCUUGCUCCCGACGGAGUUUCGAUUCGCUCCUUCCGGCGCCAAAUCGCUCUGCGCUACGUGGCUGGUUGAUCUGCUCCCACCUCCUGAACCAUCUGGCUGCCUGAUUUUGCUCGUUCACCUUCUCUCCUCCUUCGGUUUUCCUGAUCCAAGCUGGCCUAGCUUCGCUGUGCUUUAAUCUGCUAGGUCCAAAGUUUUCUCGUUGCCUGCCGCAGGUGCGAGCAUUACCGGCGGAGGCCUGCGCAAGAUCGUGGUGCCGUGCUGCAACCUGGUGCUCCCCUGCAGAUUGUCGCCACGGCCACAACCAGGCUAGGAUGAGCUAGUGUCCUUUUUCGUAAGUACUGGCUCAGCGAGCUCGUCUACUCAGGAACCUCAUGGCGUGCUUGCCAGUUUAGCUAGCGCACUGACAUGCAUUUCUGUUUGCACGUCCAACGGGGGCGGUAUAGGCAUAUAGUUAUUACAUUUGCGACUCGGUAGUUUGGUUGUAUACUGUACUUGUGUCAGCCUUGGAUCUUGAGUGUGUUCAUUUUGGUUCAAUUAUGUGCAUGGUAAAUCAAAAUAUGGAAUUUAGUGGUGGUGGUCUUGAGGUUGCGGCGCAGAGAACACUUGUGAUAAUAGAUUUCUGAAAUUGUGCCUUCAGCCAUUUUAGGAGCAAUACAGCAUAACGGGUUUAUGAAAUUGUGCCUUCUGAAAUCGAACCAUCAGGUUUUGGCACUGUAUGCAAAGAGCAGGUAAUGCUAGAGCACUUAUUCUUCUUCUUGUGUUGGUUCUUUCUUUCUUCACUACUGUAGGCUUCCGGAGAUCAGCACAAAAAUAUGUCAUCAGGAUGUUAAAAAGGUGUCAUAAGUGUGCAUAGGCUGUGGAGUCAAUAUGGGAGAGUACUUCUGUGAUACAUGCAAAUUUUAUGAAAGGGUAGUACCAUUGCAUCGAUUGUGCCAUAUGCAGGGUUGGUGGCAAGGAAAAUUUCUUCCACUGUUGUAAAGUGUGGUAUGCUUUGCUUCAACCAAAUUGAUUAUAUGAUUGAAUGUUCUUCCACACUCCACAUCCACAGUGUUGAUUCAAUGUUUCUCCGUACGCAGCAGUGGUGACUUUGAGCUGAGUGUUCUUACAUAGUACGCAACAGUGAAAGAAUGGAAGUCCAAAUUCAGUCACCCUUUUGUCUCUAAUAACGGAAAUUUUUCGUGCCCCCAAGUUGUCUGCAGAUCGUAUCAGUAUAAAUUAACACUCACCAUUUAGGGCGAUUUAAAUUUAGCAACCAAGAAACAACAUUCUAAAGUUUUUAUGUUCACUGUUAAAACUCUGCAUGUGCCUAUUCUUUGUGUGGCAAUGCAUAUAUGUUGUAUUUCUUCCUGUUCUUUUUCUGCAACUCAUAGCCUUGUAGUAUUGUAAACCAGUCAGCACAACGUUACCUGUAUCUGGAAAAAAAAUCUAA